rnacentral:lncRNA from 1 species
CGGGAGGCCCGUGGGGCAGGGGUGCGGCAAUGGGGAGAAGGCCCAUGGGGAGCCUGGAGGGAGGGCCUGCGGAAGGCAAGGGGUCGAGUGGGGCCUGACAGGAAGGCUGGCCGGCCGGUGUGGCAUGUGGGGCCUUGCCCAGCACAAACGUGCCUUCCUAGGCCCGGAGCCCCAGACGCAGAGCCUGAGAGAGGGUGCGAGCAGUUUGCUUGGAGGUGAUCUCGAGAAGUGGGUCAUGGCGGCAGGGGGGAGCGGAAAGUGGUAGAAGGUGUGUUAUCAGCUGGCGGCAACGGGGCUCCUUCCCCGUGAGGCCCCCUGGGAGACAACAUAGAAGGAGCCUUAGGGUGUUCCUGCCUGGGGACGAGGAAGCUGGGUGUCCCCAACUCCCCUGUGACACUGGCCCUCAGCUGGGCCACUCCUAGGGCCCAGAUCUCCCCACGGGGAGGCACAGGUGCUGGCAGGAGGGUGCCAUGGGCCUGGCCGGGAGCGGUGAGCGCCGGGACGCCAACAACGGGCACCAAUAGCAUCCGAGGCAAGGAGGGAGCACGGAGGCCAUCCCGCAUGCACCUGUUCACCGAGCAUCCCAGUGUGCCCAUCUCAUCAGGGAGACGGAGGAUGAGAAGAGCACGCGGAGAGAUGGUCAGCAGCGCGGGAUUCGUGCCAGGAAGGGAUGGAGGACGGAUAAACAACAUGUGGCGUAUCCACACGACGGGGUUUGAUGCAGCCAUAAAGAGCAAUCGAGCACUGAGUGUUGAAAAUAGUGAGACUGAGCGCAAGACGCCAGAUGCAAAAGGCCACAUAGCGUGUGAUUCCGUUCCCGUGAGGUGUCCCAGGCAGGCAAAUCCGCAGAGACAGGAAGCAGGUCUCAGCUCAAGCAGAAAGAGCUCCCAGCCUGCCCUCACGGAACAGGCCUAUCCACCAUCCUGUAUGAGCUCCCCAUUGCCGCUGUAACAAAUGACCACAAACUUAGUGGCUUAGAACACGCACCAUUAUUCUCUUCUAGUUCCAGA